rnacentral:lncRNA from 1 species
CUUGGAGAACGCGGGUGGAGAUGUGGGGAGCCCUCCACAUCCGUGCGGGGACAAACCUGUGGGAGCCCACCUGUCUCUCCAGUAUUUUAUCUUUGAUGCAUAAGGUGGUGUCCAGCGUGGAGUAGCUCCCUUAUGAAUAAAUAGUAACAAAACAGACGAAAGCCAGCAGAAGUGAGAGGAGCAGCAAACCAGGAAAACAGUAAUGUCACCUGAACUCUAGGAAGCAAUCAGCUGGAGGUACAAAUCAGGACCUCGUAAACUCUCGAGGUUUCAAGCCCUUAUGCAAGUAACAGUUGAGUCUAUUCAAACGGUGUGUGUAUGCAUACAUAACCAGCACUGAGUUUCUGGUCGGCAUCAAAAACAUAGGCUUUAUUUCUAUGUAGUGUUAAAUUAAAUAGUAAUUUCCAUGUAGAUGUGAAAGUCUCCAAAUGGUGUGCAGUUAAAAAAAAAACAUAUUAAUGGUAAACAGCAUUCAGUUGCUCUGCUAAACAACAUACCGUCCUUGAAAACCACAAAUAUUCCACUUGGAUUUGAGUGGGGAAAGGGAGAGGAGGCAGCUGACAUUUCUCGAGACCAACACAAAGGCAUAGACGUCGUAGGGUGCCCAGGAGCACAUCUCCAAGCUGUCCUCUAUCCCUGACUUUUGAGUCAGAGAAAAUAUAAUCAAGCUCAAGGUCUGCAUGACUUGAAUACAUGUUUCUAAUACAAGACAACUCACUAAAUACGAUGACGCCGGCACUGCUUGCCAAGUGGAGGGCGUCCCCAUAACGAAGGGAUGUGUGUGCCCCAGGGCUGGGCGGAGUAGGGCUCUCACGGCCCUAAGGUGUGCUUUCUUCCCAGAGCUCAGGCCUCGAUCUAACAGCCCUAGUUCAACUCUUCUGCUCUCGACUCUUCAUCCGUCCGCAUGGAAAGCAGGACCCCCAACAUGGUGCGUGUUCCUGGGGUAGAAUUCGGAACUUCAGAAUAAAGCAGAAUACUUUGGUAUUCUGUUUGCCCAAGUGCAGCUGGGGUCUUCCUCGCCCAGAUCACCUGUACUCUGCAGAGUUUUAGACAGAUGCACACAUGAAAGAAAGUAUCCUUCUAGACUCCUUCCUCUGGUUUUAGAGCCGAAAGUCCACGACAGUGAGGUGCUCCCUACCCCUUUCUACCCGCCCUGGAAACCGAUCCUGACGAAGAGUGCCCCGUGCGCGCUUUGGAAGAUAGAGGCUAUGUGCAUCACGGAAAGGAAGAACAGAGAAGACCAAACCCAACCAAACCCGGGAGGUACUGUACUGGAGCCACAGAGAGGGGAGAGU